GUAUAUAAUAAUUAUGAAAACAAAAAAUUAUGGCGGUACUUUAAGCUUUUCAGAGGAAUUUGCUCUUUAAUGGAUAAAACACCAAAACCUUGCUAAAAUUAGUUAAAACAGUUUGUAUACCACUAUAGAAAUAAUAAGUUAUUAUUAUUAUUAAGAUCUUAUAUAGUUUUAUAAAAAUAAAUUAAGUCAUGGUGCAGCUGAAUUUUAGAAUGAAGUGAAUUACAUUUCUUUUUAGAAAGUAAAAAUGAAAAUUAUUUUAGGAUUUGAAAGUAAAAUUUAAAUAAAAUGGAAAUUUGAANGAAGUNCUGAAGUAUGUAC
rnacentral:rRNA from 1 species